GCAUAUCAAUAAGCGGAGGAAAAGAAACCAACCGGGAUUGCCUCAGUAACGGCGAGUGAAGCGGCAAGAGCUCAAAUUUGAAAUCUGGCCCCUUUGGGGUCCGAGUUGUAAUUUGCAGAGGAUGCUUCGGGUGCGGUCCCCGUCUAAGUGCCCUGGAACGGGCCGUCAUAGAGGGUGAGAAUCCCGUCUGGGAUGGGCGGCCGCGCCCGUGUGAAGCUCCUUCGACGAGUCGAGUUGUUUGGGAAUGCAGCUCUAAGCGGGUGGUAAAUUUCAUCUAAAGCUAAAUACUGGCCGGAGACCGAUAGCGCACAAGUAGAGUGAUCGAAAGAUGAAAAGCACUUUGAAAAGAGAGUUAAACAGCACGUGAAAUUGUUGAAAGGGAAGCGUUGUCCACCAGACUCGCCCGGGGGGGUUCAGCCGGCACGUGUGCCGGUGUACUCCUCUCCGGGCGGGCCAGCAUCGGUUUGGGCGGCUGGUGAAAGGCCCCGGGAAUGUAACACCCUUCGGGGUGCCUUAUAGCCCGGGGUGCCAUACAGCCAGCCUGGACCGAGGCCCGCGCUUCGGCGAGGAUGCUGGCGUAAUGGUGGUCAACGGCCCGUCUUGAAACACGGACCAAGGAGUCUAACAUCUAUGCGAGUGUUCGGGUGUCAAACCCGUCCGCGCAGUGAAAGCGAACGGAGGUGGGAGCCCCUCGGGGCGCACCAUCGACCGAUCCUGAUGUCUUCGGAUGGAUUUGAGUAAGAGCAUAGCUGUUGGGACCCGAAAGAUGGUGAACUAUGCCUGAAUAGGGCGAAGCCAGAGGAAACUCUGGUGGAGGCUCGCAGCGGUUCUGACGUGCAAAUCGAUCGUCAAAUUUGGGUAUAGGGGCGAAAGACUAAUCGAACCAUCUGGUAGCUGGUUCCUGCGA
rnacentral:rRNA from 1 species